GAUCUACUCCCUCCGUCCGGAAAUACUUGUCGGAGAAAUGGAUCAAAAUGGAUGUAUUUAAAACUGAAAUAUGUCUAGAUACAUCCAUUUCUUCGACAAGUAUUUUCGGACGGAAGGAGUAUUUG
rnacentral:pre_miRNA from 1 species